AAAAAAAAGUUUCAAAAAUCGGGAGGAGGAAAACCCCCCCCCCCCCCCAUUUCUCUUCUUUCCCUCUCCUUCCCUUUCUUCUUCUUCUUCCUUUCUCCGGUGACCGGCCGGCGGCGUCCCAAGCAGCUCCCCACCGGCCAGCGACCCUCCGGCGACCACCAGGACCACCAGAAACGGCGGCAAGAGAGGGAGAGGAGAGAGAAAACGCGCGCACAGUGGGCAGCGGCUUUCCGGCGCGAUUUCGGCUUCAUCCGACGUCCGAUCGAGGCGAUUUUGGUGGCGUUGGAAAGCUUGUUCCGAGAGCUUUCUUUUGAUACCAAUUUUGAAGCAAAUGGAGGUCGGAUGAGUGAGAUAUGGAGGAGAGAAGUUUCGGGUUUUUCAAGCUUUUUCGUCAGAUCUACGACGAUCCGACCGUUGGAUCGACGAUCCGAGACCACAUAUGGACUGAGGAAGAGUAGAGGAGCAUGGGGGUAUGAUCAGAUUCGGAAAAUGUUGCCGGCGACCGCGGCCGGCCACCGUGCGCGGUGGUGCCGGCGGUGGCUCCGGUGAGCUAUGGAGAUGGUUCAACUUCCAGAGGCUUCCUCAUAAAUUUUUGGAAUUUUUGAGACACAGAUAAACUCGAGUAAGACAAUUUUUAUUAUUUCUCUAUCUAUGGAGCAUAAAUACAGUGUUUCUUAAACAGGAAAAAUUGGAGAAAAAUUCUAAGAAAAAUAUAUGAUGAAAGUAAAAUUAUUUGGAGAUAUUCUAUGGUGUUAGUUGAAUUUUUGGGUGAUCGUAGAAUAUUUUUGAGAAAUAUGGAUGGAUUUUAGUUAUAUUUUUAGCAUGUGGGCAUAUAAGAUUAAUUGAAAUUAAGAUAAUCAAAUUUUAUAUAAUUGGUUGGAGCUUGAGGAUGGAGGUUUAAAUAUGUGAAUAUUUAAUUGGGUUGAAUUAGGAAUAUGUUAGCUGUUGGAAACUUAUGGAAUCGAGUAAAAUUCUUGAAUAAAAUAUUCAUGGGUAAUUAGAAAAUUACAAUUCAUUUUGCAAUAGCCUUAUAAUAUUAUUAAGGACCGCGGGGCAAAAUUUUAGAAUUUUUAGAGCUUGUUUGAGUGGAUUUUUGAAAAAUGUCAAUUAUAGGGACUAAAACGUAAUUUUUAAGAUUUUGAGUAUUGUCCGAUUUGGAGGGCCCAUGUGAUAUUGAUGAGAUGUGAUUGUAGAAAUUGAGAAUUUAGAAGUGUUAUUUGAGCCUUUUUGCAGGUUGGGUAGGUCCCAGGUAUAGGGGAAACUCUGCCGGAUUUCCGGCAUGAAUUAGGCUGUCUAUUGCCUCUUUAGAGUUUUAUUUUGAGUUAGUACUAAUAAAUUUAUAAUUUAAUUAUUAGGUGAUCGAGAUCAACUAUUUUCCUGCAUCCAGCAGCCACAAUAGUCGACGGUGUACUGCCACAGGAGGAGUUAUUUUACAGAACAACCUGUUUUCUUCCUCGCAGGUUUAACGUCAAUUAUUUAAUUGUUUUACUAUCUUUUUCUAAAUUUAAAAUCUAGAACUCCGCAUGUGUUAGAAAUAGUGUGGACCUUGGUAGAGGUUGGGUUAAUUUAAAUUUUUAAGAUUAAUAAAUGAAGAUUUGUAUGGUAUUUAAACAGUUUGUAAGUGAGGUAACAGGGUUGAGCUGGGCUCCCCUGAUUUUAGUUUCUGAAAAUUUGUGGGCUAAGUUGGCCCGAAAUGAAAUUAUAACAGUUUGAUUUAAA